CUGGGUCGGCGCUCCACAGGUACUGACUGAUGGCUUGUACGGGGAUUUUCACAGAGAUGGAGGGAUCCCACACAGAGAAGGAUUUAGGGCAAAGUGCUGAAAAGAAUG